UGUUAUGGCAGAAUCAUGUCCCUCCCCGGCCACAGGGUAGCCACCUGUGACAUGUUACUGUACAUGGCAAAAUGCAUGACAGAUAUUUUAGGACAAAAAUCUUAGAGGAUUUCUGUCUUCUAAAUUGUCUAUCAGUUAGCAUUUUAAACCCAUGAUACAUUAUUAAAGAUUAGUGCAGGGGGACAAAUAAAAAGGAUUCAUGUAAUCUCACCAGACAUACUGAAUGUAGAAAGGCUAAGGAAGAAAAACAAAAAGUCAUUCAUAUGUGCCUUGAACCAUAAAAUGCCCAUGAGAGGAAAUGUUACACAAGGUGAGUGUCACAGCCACAUUCAUAAUGCCUGAAUGGGAUGGGACAAGGGGAUCCUGAGAUGAGACAAUAGGGCGAGUAGCCUGGAUUGUCCAGGUGGGCUGAAUGUAAUCACAGGGGUCCUUGAAAUGGAGGACAUUUCCCAGCUGAGUUUAAAAUCAGAGGGAGGUGUAGCCAUAGAGCAAUGUUCAGAAAGGCUGCUGACCAUGAAAAUGGAGGAAGUCGUGGGGCACAAGCUAAGGAAGGUGGGUGACCUCUGGAAACUGGAAAAAAACAACAACAACAAGGAAACAUUCUCUUCUAGACCCUCUAGAAGGAAGGAACCCUGCUGCUACCUUGAAUUUAGCCCAAUGAGAACUGUGUUGGAUCUCUGACCUCCACAGCCAUAAGCUGAUAAAUCUGUGCUGGUUUAAGCUCUUAAGCUUAUGGAAAUUUCUUACAUUGGUAAGAGGAAAAUAACAUAGUGAGCCGUAGUGUAACGGAUUAAAGGUAUAGGAUGGGGUGUGGAGAGGAUUCUGACAUUUACAACUAAAAAACAACCAGGUGAAGUGGAAGGUGUUUUAAGGAAGACCUACCUGGCAGGGCUAUUAAGCAGACUGGAGCGAGGGGAGCAUUGGAGUUAGAGGAAUCAAUUAAAUCUCUACCAGAAAAAUAAGGAAUAAAAUGUAACAGGGCUUCAGUGAUAGUGGAUGUAGGAAUGGAAAUGGGCAGAGAGACAUAAAUAUUACUUUGAAAUUAGCUACAGGUUUGAUGACUGCAUGUUGGGGAGACUUAGCCGAUGUGUGGACUGAAUGUUUGCAUCCCCUCAAAAUCCAUAUGUCGAAACCCCAUCUCCCAGGGUGAUGGUAUUGGGAGGUGGGGCCUUUGGGACGUGAUUAGUAGGAUAAAAUGAGGUCAUGAGAGUAGAGCCCUCAUGAAUGGGAUUAGUGUUCUUAUACAAGCCCCCAGAGUGCUUGCUUCUCUCUGCUCUCUGGGAUAUGAAUAUAUUGGGAAGACAGCCAUCUUCGAGCUGGCAAUCCUCUCAAGGAUACAUUGACCUUGAAAGUCUCAGCCUCCAAACCAUAAGGAAUAUGCUGGUUGUUUAAGCCACCCGACCCACGGUAAUUUGUUACAGCACCCCAGACUGACGAAGACAGUGGAGAAUGCCUCUGAGUUUGGCACUGAUUGCCUGGAGAAUGCUGAAACCCAGGGAAGUGGGCAGCACAGACGUUUACUCAUUUAAUCCUGCCAACACAGUAGGAGAUAGAGUCUACAUAUUCCUCGCUACUUAAAAGAUCCCUGCCUUCUCUCUGCUCCUCCUGUCCAUGUCUCUCCCUCCACUUUUCCCCUUCUCCCCUCCUCCUCCCAUCUUCUCCGUCCCUCCCUUCCCCAACUUCUCUUGCAGAACACAGAGAGGAUCGCUGGCCCUCCUGCGCAUGCGCAGUCUGUGCCAGCUGGACCGAGGGUUGGAAACUGCAACUCCGAGCCGGGGAUCGGCCCCAAAGGCUUCUCAGCUCUUUCGCCCGCUCAGUGGUGUGGGCGCUGCUCCCCGGGCUGAGAGCCUCCGGCUGUGAACCCCAGCUUCUCCUGUUGGAGUCGGGAAAAGGGAGCGUCAGUGCUGAGCGAGCUUCCGUCUCCUCCCUCAGUGUUUCUGCCCCAGUACGUUUUGGUUACUGAGACCCUCGAAUUCCCAUAUGAAUUGUAGCAGCAGCUAGUCAGUUUCUGCAGAGGAGACCGCAGGGAUUGUGAUCGAGACCACGUUGAAUAUACGGAUCGUUCUGGGGAGCACUGCCAUUCCAAAAGCGCUGUCUUCUGAUCCAGCAAUGUGCGUGGUUUGUCCAGGUGCCCUCACCUCCAGUAGCAUCCAUCCAGACACCGGAACUGACACUGGCCGUGCUCCGAACUGCCUCAGCCCUGAAGACACAACUGACAAAUAGAAGGGGACCACGCCCUGUUACAGCAGGUGCUCUCACUUUGUGGAUCCUUAUGUAACUGAGCGGUGUUAAUCAGGAUUGCCCGUUCUACAUUGUGUGGCGCUGCUGCGGUGUCUCCUAGUUACUUGUUUCUUGUAAGAAUUCCGGUGACUGAGUUAGAAGCAUGCUUCCAAGCUGUCCGUGUCCUCGGCAUCCAGAAGCGGAGCCUGGAAGCUUCCGAAUUUCUCCAGAAUGCAGUCUACAUUCACCUUCGGCAGGGCCUGCAACAUGAGCAUCCCUGACUACGAGCAGUGUGCUGAGGACCACCAGACUUUCCCCGUGGUGGUCGAACAGGUGGGGAUCAUCUCAGAGGAGAAUUUCUUUUGCAUCUAUAAGUGAAUCACCUUGGUGAGUCAGAUCAGUCCGUGCGGCUCCCAGUGGGCAAACUGUAUCCACUACAGGCACCACUAUGCGCCCAAGAAUGGGUGGAGCGACUUCCAGACCCAGCGCAAGGUCUUGGGCCUUGUCAUCAUUACUGACUGCCUCUCGGCCAAGGCUUCGAAAAGCUCCACGUGCAGAGGAGCUGUAUGGCACCACGCUCUAUGACUCUCAGCUCUUUGACUUUCUGCUGCAUGGGGAGGUGGCCGAGCAGCCGCGCACCAAAGUGGCCUUCAAUUUACGAGGACUGCAGGGUGGUGGAGAAGAGGAUCAAGGACUUCACUGAGUCACUCUUCAUCUUGCCCAAGUCCAAGAGGCUGGACUGUGCAUCCGACAAUUCUGGGGACAAGAUCCUCCUUCUCUGCAUCCCAUUUGAGAAGGAGGACAUCAUGGGACUGGACACAGAAAGCAGUACGUUUUGGUUACUGAGUCCCUCGAAUUCCCAUAUGAAUUGUAGCAGCAGCUAGUCAGUUACUGCAGAGGAGCCGGCUGGGAUUGUGAUCGAGACCACGUUGAGUAUACAGAUCGCUCUGGGGAGCACUGCCAUCCCAAGAGCGCUGUCAUCUGAUCCAGGAAUGUGCGUGGUGUGUCUGUCCAGGGGAAAAGAGUACAAUUCAAAAAUAUAAAGAUUGUGAGCUAAUGAGAUAGACAAGACAACCGAACAUUUGUUAAAUAUCCUUUCAUGCCGGAAACAAAUGUAUUAUACACACAAAAAGCACACAAAUCACGGUAGUACUGCGGUUACAAACGUGGGUCCGAGUUCGAGUCCUGCUCUGGAGUGACCAGUCCUGUGAGAUGGAGAACUGAGUUCUAUGUAUAGUUGGUUACAUUCUAUACCUGGAAAUUUCUCCAAAACUGCUUCCCACGUGCCCUCACCUCCAGUGGCAUCCAUCCAGACACCAGCACUGACACUGGCCGUGCUCACAACUGCCUUAGCCCUGAAGACACAACUGACAAAUAGAAGGGGGCUACGCCCUAAGACAGCAGGUGCUCUUACUUUGUGGGUCCUUAUGUAACUGCGCGGUGUUAUUCAGGAUCGCCCGUUCUACACUUUGUGACGCUGCUGCCGUGUCUCCUAGUUAUUUCUGAUCUGAGAAGCAGGAGCAAGGAACUCAGGGAGAGAUCCAGGAAGACAUCUGACUCUGUUAAGAGACGACAGUCACAGCGACACGGGGAGCGAGGACACUUGCAGCAAAGUAAAAUGACUUCACAACUAUUGCAUCAGAGCUGCAGGUGUGAGAGAGCCUAAGCCUGUCUCAGAGUGCAGGGGACAAGAGGAAAGGAAUGGCUCCUCAGCUCAGAUGUAAGAAAAGACUCUUUAAACUUCUUGAUGCAGCUCCUUAAUGAAGAUCUUGUGAAGGAAACCUACUCAAAACCUGGGAGCCUAUCCUUCCAAAUGUCCAGGAGACUCUUCCUCAGUCUUGAGUUUCCCGCUGAUGUUACCACUGUCUUUGUUUCUGGAGAGGAAAACAAGUCUAAACUUACUUUCCAGUUGGAAAUGGAAUGGAGAGUUAACGUUGGAAGCCGGGAGAGUCUGUCCUGUGAUGAAGCGGUCUCCGAGCCACUUCCAUGGGGACGUCACGUCACUGUCUGGGCCCCUUGCACAGCCUGUGCACAGCAUUCCUAGGAGAGAAUUCAGCAGUGCAGCAUCCUCUCCGAGCUCUAUGAGUUGAUCGGCUUCCACCGCAAGUCCGCCUUCUUCAAGUGGGUGGCCCCCGUGCAGCGCGUGGCCCCUGGCAUUACGGAGCCUGGCGCGAAGGCCUGCUACCGACUCCUUCUGCAGACGCUUCCUGGCUACAGUCUGUCGCUGGAUCUGCAGGACUUCAGCAAAGGUGUUGGAACUAAAACAUUGCUUCAGUCCCAUUAACCAUGCCAGGUUUGGGCCCUGCUGUCCUGUCUCAUCAGGGUGAAUUCUGAUUCGUUUAGAAUAGGGCUCAGCUGACUUUUUCUGUCAAGGGCUUGGGAGUAAGUAUUUCAGGGUCUGCAAACCUCCUGAUCUCUGGUGCAGCUGCUCAGCUCUGCUGUUCAGACGCCAGAGCAUCCGGACAUUCCACACACCCACAGAGCUUUAUUAACAGCGGUGUCUGGGGCUGGAUUCAGUGUAUGAACUGCAGUUUGUCCCCACAGCCUCCUCAUUAUUGACGCCUUCAACAGAGCAUGCAUUUGCGACACUGGGUGAACCUGCACUGACACGUCAUCAUCACCCAGAGCCCAGACUUGACACUAGGAUUUACACUUGGUGGUGUGCACUCUGUGGGUUUGGACAGAUGUGCAAUGACAUGUAUCCACCGUCACAGCAUCAUACAGAGUAGUCUGUCUUAGUGACCUUAAAAUGCUCCGUGCUGCACCUCAUUCAUUGCUCCUUCCCCUCUAGCCUCUGACAGCCACUGAUCUUUUAGUCUCUGUGGUUUUCCCUUUCCCAGAACACCAUACAGUUGGAAUCAGACAGUUGCGGAACCUUCCCAGAUUGGCUUCUUUCACUUAGUAAUAUGCAUUUAAGGUUCCUCCAUGUCUUUCCAUGCCUUGAUAACUCAUUUCAUUUUAGCACCAAAUAAUAGUCCAUUUUCUGGCUGGACCACAGUUAAUCCAUUCACCUACUGAAGAACAUCUUAGUUGCUUCUGAGUUCUGGUGAUUAUGAAUAAAGCUGCUAUUAACAUCUGUAUGCAGUUUUGUGUGUGGACAUAAGUUUCCAUUUCGUCGAGUAAACACCAAGGAGCACAGUUGCCGGAUCAUGUGUUAGGAGUACGUUUAGUUUUGUAAAAAAUUGCCAGACCGUCUUCCAAAGUAUCUGGGCCAUUUUACAUUCCCACCAGCAAUGCAUGAGAAUUCCUUAUGCUCCACAUCCUCACCAGCAUUCGGUGCUGUCAGCGUUCUGCGUUUUGGCAGUUCUGACAGGUGUGCAGUGGUACCUCGCUGUUUCAGUCUGCAUCCCCUUGAUGACAGAUGCUGUGGAGCAGCUUUCCAUAGAUUUCUUUGGCAUCUAGAUUUUUUCUUUGAUGAGGUCUGUGUCAGGAAUUUUGCUCAUUUUUUAAUCAGGUUGUUCAUUCUUCUUGUUGAGUUUAAAGAGAUUUUGGUAUAUUCUGGAUAUCAGCCCCUUAUCAAUGUGUCCCUGCCCUUCACCUGCAGCACCGGAGUUGUCCUUUGGGUCUCAGUGGAGUGUCAGCUCUUCAAAGAGGUUCCCUGUCUUCCCUCAGCCUAAAUACUGUCCUUGUAUUUUUCACUUUCAUUGACUCAUUUUGUUCUUUUUAAAUAGCAUUUCCCAUAAUUUGUAAGUAUAUUAAAAAAAAAAAGGGCAAUGAUUGAACACCACCUCCCCCACCAGGCUGUGUGCCCUGUGAGAGCAGAGGCCCUGUCCCCACUCACCAUUUCCCAUGACAGCACAUGGCACAUGUCCAUGUAAAAGUGUGUAACGUGGGGCCAAACCUGAUGAGCAGCUAUGAUGACAUGUGUUGGCUACCAUUUAUUGAGUAGACUUUGUUUCUGAUGUAAAUUAUUAAAUCACAUGAAUUAAACUUGUUUGUUUUGAAAAAUAAAACAACAAAGCACACCUCCAUUUGAUUGGUACUUUCUACUUAGCUUUCUGACACAGGAGGGGAUGUUCACAAUCAUUUUCUGGAGGAGGUUGGGGAGGUAAAGUAAGAGAGUGAGAUCAAAUAAAGUAAAAAUGAUAACUAUCAGUUGGCUUUAUUUUCACUAAGACAUAAAAGUUACUUUAAACCCUAUCUCAGCUGUUGUUCUGUUGUUUUAAACAUUUCUCAUAGAAUUAAAUGGAAGCCCACUAAACCCUGAAAGGGAAAUUGUGUGCUCAGGUCCUGAAAAUUGUUUAUGUCUAUUUCUUGAAAUGCACAUUUUCCCUGCUGGUUACAGAAAUUCGAGGCGGGAACAUAGCCGUGCGCUGCGUGUCUGCCGGCUUCACGGGCUGCUCACUGUCAUUUUCAUUUUCUUGUGUUGCAGUUUAUGAAGGUUUUCCCAUGAGAUAUAUUGCUCAGCCUUUUCCUGAAUGAAGGAUUGAAUUUUCCACAGGAAAUCUUAUGAAAGAGAGUGACAAGGCACAUGGGUUUCCCAAAAAGGAAUACUUGAUGUAAUAAACUCUCACUAUGAUGAACCUUUUUUAAUACAAGCCAGUUGAAAAUUUUAUCACUAGGUCAUAGGCCACAAAUCUGU